CCCUCUUUCCCGCAGACCUUCUUCUUCAACGUCUUCGAGUCGCCCUCGGAGCUGUUUGACACGCCCGUCUUCAUCACCGUGGUGGAUUCCCGAUCUUUCCGCCCGGACUCGGUGAUCGGGGAGUUCCGGAUGGACGUGGAGACCGUUUACUCCGAGCCAA